GACGGUACGGUACGGGUUCGUGUACGGGUAUGAGCGAAGCAAAAUGGAGGACACAAAAAAAUAAACAAUUCACUUCUCGAUUUAUUGGUUUUAUAUAUAUGAGAGGUAGAAGGGUGAAAAGGGAUAUUAAAAUUUGAAUAGCACACCAUAACUAUUCGAGAAGAUUGUAAUGACAAGUCAAAAGCCAGCGCACGGGGCGGUGCCUAAGGGGGAUGUAUCCUACCUGAGGGCCACCCCAGGGCCUCAGUUCCCUGUUGCUCCUUCACCACUACCUGCAUUGGAAUCAAACCAUGUGCCAGUUGCUCCUCAGCAACACAAUGUCAACAGUGACCUGGAAGACAAGUUAGAACUUCAACAACGAGAGCUGGAGGAGAUUCGAGCCCGAGCCUCACAGAUGGAGAAAACGAUGCGCUGGUGGUCAGACUGCACAUCCAACUGGCGUGAAAAAUGGAGUAAAGUUAGAAAUGAAAGAAAUAAAGCUAGAGAAGAAAAUAGACAACUAAGAGCAAAACUUGACCUAUGUAUCAAAGAAAUUAACAGUUUAAAAAGAGAAAGAGAAGGGUUGGUAAAUACGAGCAAAGAUAAUGAUAAAAGUAAAGUAACAGAUAAACAGAUAGAACUAUCAGAUGACUCCAAAACUACCUCUAGUAACAGUUUAGAUAGUGUACAAUCAAAAUGUGAGCUCCAGAGUACCUCUGCACAGACUGAACCGUUUGUCCAGCCAAGUGCUAACUCUCCCCAAGCAGAGGCAAAACCAACCAAAGAAUCAACUACUGGUGUAAGAAGUGAUGUUUCUAAGACUCCAGAGUGUUCAGAGACAAUAGCAGGAGAUAAACUUGCUCUUUUGGAGCUGAAGUUAGAGGAAUCACAAAAAACAAUUACAGCAGAAAGGGAAGAAAAGUCACAGCUUGCAAAGUCUUUAGAGACGAUGAGGCAUGAUGUUAAUAGUUGGAAAUCAAAGUAUGAGGAACAAAAUCAAAUUAAACAUGAUCUGGAGGUACAGGUAAGAAAAUUAAAGGACCAACACGAAGAAGAGUUAUGUCGAGUAUCUUCCGACCUUCAGGAUGAACAGUCGUCGAGGAGUACUGUAGAUAAACGACUCUCAGAACUGAGACUAGAGCUUGAAAGACUACAGAAGGAGAAUGCAGAUGAAUGGGGUAAACGAGAGAGAAUGGAGACAGAAAAACUGGCCCUUGAACGGGAAAAUAAAAAAUUACGUACACAGAUAUCUGACCUCGAAGAACAGCUGGAGAGAAAAAGCACUCAUGCUUCAACAGUGACAAAUAAAGAUAUUAAAACUCUACAGAUGGAGGUGUCAGAAAAAAAUAAGGAACUGGCAGACCUUAAACAUGUUCAUACAAAACUGAAGAAGACAUUACAAGAGCGUCUCACUGACCUGGAGCAUAGCAAGCGUCGAUGUGACCAGUUUGAGAUGGAGGUGAAAAAACUUCGGUCACGCGUAGAGGAACUGAAACGGGAACUUGCCACAGCUGAAGAUGAGGUUGAUACACAAGCUAACAAUGUACGAAAGGUACAGAGGAACAGUGAUGAGCUUCAAGAACAGGUAGAGAACCUGCAGGUACAACUAGAACAUCUUCAGAGCAGGUAAGUUAACAAUGUAGGUAAGGUACAGAGGAACAGUGAUGAGCUUCAAGAACAGGUGGAGAAUCUCCAGGUACAGCUAGAACAUCUACAGAGCAGAUUGAGAAGGAGUUCACAGCCAGGCUCUGGGUCACAUGCAGGUGGCCACAGGUCGUACAGUCCGGAUCUUCAGGCGCUUGAAAUAGAUGAUGACUCUGAUGAUGAUUUCAGUGAUGGCCCAUAGUAAUC
rnacentral:misc_RNA from 1 species